rnacentral:rRNA from 1 species
GACGAAGGGGGCUAGCGUUGUUCGGAAUUACUGGGCGUAAAGCGAGUGUAGGUGGUUGUCGUAGUCAGGUGUGAAAGCCUUGAGCCCAACUCAAGAAAUGCACUUGAUACUCGGCGGCUAGAGGACCGGAGAGGAUAGUGGAAUUCCCAGUGUAGUGGUGAAAUACGUAGAGAUUGGGAAGAACACCAGUGGCGAAGGCAGCCUCCUGGGCCAGCACUGACGCUCAUGCACGAAAGCGUGGGGAGCAAACAGG